ensembl:lncRNA
CCACCUUAUUCUUUCAUUGACAAAUGGAUUAAUCCAACGUGUCUGCUUGCACUGAGUAAAGCUUAUUUUGUUAUAGAAGGCAUUCACGUUCUGUUGAGCACAGCAAAAUAGAUACUGGUUGCAGCAGCUUACUGGGCAGCGCUCUGGGCUUUUUAAUUUAUUCCUCUGGAGAUCUCAUUGUGGAGUAGAUUGAUGUGGUAGAGUCGAUAACCUGAAGAGCUGAAAUCAUAGUUAAGACCACGCUGCUGAUUCAGGGGUGGGUGAAAGAUCUGACCUACCUUCCAAAGACGGGGGUGGCCUAUGCACAAAUAGUGGCAUGAUGGGUUGCCUAUCCCAGCCAGAGCAGUCUGUUUUCUUCACCACUAAAAGAAGAACUCCAGAUGAUCCUAG